rnacentral:tRNA from 1 species
CAAGGGGUGGCAGAGUGGAAAUGCGCUGGACACCCGAUCCAGUGGCCCUUCGGGGCCGCGUGGGUUCAAAUCCCACCCCCGGCGCCA